rnacentral:ncRNA from 14 species
GGCUAAGUAACAUAAGGGUAAUGUAUUGGAUUGCAAAUCCUAUAAAGAUGGUUCGAAUCCGUCCUUAGCCU